AUGGUUAUGCCUCUACGACCCCCGCACCACGCCGUAGGCCUCAUGUCUUCCCCGGCUGCGUCGCUCCCUGCCAUGACCCCUCUGUCCCUGUCUCCGCAGAGCAUCGCCGAGUACGACCUCAAGGACAUUUCCUACACCGUGAAGAGCCCCACGUGCCACGAGCUGCUGGUGCUCGGCUCCCUGGACGAACCCAUGGUGUUCAGCUUCGAGGAGGAGCGCGAGGCGCAGAAGUGGUGGACGAUCGUCAGCAGUUCCCUGAGGGAGGCGCAGAAAGGUCGGGGCUGGCUCCGGGAUGGGGGCGGGGGGGGGUUUGGGCUGAGCCACAGCUCGGGGCUCCCUGCGGCACGAGCACGGGGUUGGGUGGGGACAGCAGCUCUGCUGCGUCCUUGCCCUGCUGCGUCCCUGCCCUGCUGCAUCCUUGCUGUGCUGCAUUGUCCCCUCUCUGCUGCGUCCCUGCUCUGCUGCAUCCCUGCCCUGCUCUGUUGCGUCCCCGCCCUGCUCUGUUGCGUCCCCGCCCUGCUGUGCUGCGUCCCUGCCGUGCUGCGUCCCUGCCGUGCUGCAUCCUUGCCGUGCUGCAUCCUUGCUGUGCUGCAUCCCUGCUGUGCUGCAUUGUCCCCUCUCUGCUGCGUCCCUGCCGUGCUGUGUCCCUGCCCUGCUGCGUCCCUGCUCUGCCACAUCGCUGCUCUGCCCUGCUGCAUCCCUGCCGUGCUGCGUCCCUGCCGUGCUGCAUUGUCACCGCUGUGCUGCAUCCCUGCCGUGCUGCGUCCCUGCCGUGCUGCGUCUCUGCUCUGCUGCAUCCCUGCUCUCCUGCAUCCCUGCCCUGCUCUGCUGCGUCUCUGCUCUCCUGCAUCCCUGCCCUGCUCUGCUGCGUCCCUGCCGUGCUGCGUCCCUGCCGUGCUGCAUUGUCCCCUCCCGCUGCGUCCCUGCCGUGCCGCAUCCCUGCUCUGCUGCAUCCCUGCCCUGCUCUGCUGCAUCCCUGCCGUGCUGUGUCCCUGCUCUCCUGAAUCCCUGCCCUGCUCUGCUGCAUCCCUGCCGUGCUGCAUCCCUGCCCUGCUCUGCUGCAUCCCUGCCGUGCUGUGUCCCUGCUCUCCU
rnacentral:lncRNA from 1 species